UGUGGGGACACGUGUGGAGAGCACAAGCCGGAAAUGGAAAAGCCGGUGCAAGCGAGGUAGGAGUACAGUAGGCAAAUCCGCUGUACAAUCCGAAGACGUGAUGCGGACCAAAUUAAGGGUAGGGAAGUGUGUGAGCCAUGCGUCAAGAAAAGCCGCUAUUGUUUUACUUAAGCCCGUACCGUAAACCGACACAGGUGGAUGAGGAGAGAAUCCUAAGGCCGACGGGAGAAGCAUUGUUAAGGAACUCGGCAAAAUGACUCCGUAACUUCGGGAGAAGGAGUGCCAGCGAGAGCUGGCCGCAGAGAAUUGGCCCAAGCAACUGUUUAGCAAAAACACAGGUCUAUGCAAAACCGUAAGGUGAAGUAUAUGGGCUGACGCCUGCCCGGUGCUGGAAGGUUAAGAGGAGAGGUUAGCGGCAACGCGAAGCUUUGAAUUUAAGCCCCAGUAAACGGCGGCCGUAACAAUAACGGUCCUAAGGUAGCGAAAUUCCUUGUCGGGUAAGUUCCGACCCGCACGAAAGGCGUAAUGAUUUGGGCACUGUCUCAACAAUGCACCCGGUGAAAUUGAAAUACCAGUGAAGAUGCUGGUUACCUGCGCCAGGACGGAAAGACCCCAUGGAGCUUUACUCCAGCUUGAUACUGGGAUUCGGUAUUGCAUGUACAGGAUAGGUGGGAGGCUAGGAAGUGAUAACGCCAGUUGUCACGGAGCCGCUGUUGGGAUACCACCCUUGCAGUAUUGGAUUUCUAACCAGCGACCAUGAACUGGUCGGGGGACAAUGUCAGGUGGGGAGUUUGACUGGGGCGGUCGCCUCCGAAAGGGUAUCGGAGGCGCUCAAAGGUUCCCUCAGAAUGGACGGAAACCAUUCGAAGAGUGCAAAGGCAGAAGGGAGCUUGACUGCGACACCGACGGGUGGAGCAGGUACGAAAGUAGGACUUAGUGAUCCGGUGGUAUAAAGUGGGAUUGCCAUCGCCCAACGGAUAAAAGCUACCCUGGGAUAACAGGCUUAUCACUCCCAAGAGUUCACAUCGACGGAGUGGUUUGGCACCUCGAUGUCGGCUCAUCGCAUCCUGGGGCUGAAGUAGGUCCCAAGGGUUGGGCUGUUCGCCCAUUAAAGCGGUACGCGAGCUGGGUUCAGAACGUCGUGAGACAGUUCGGUCCCUAUCCGGCGUGGGCGUAGGAUAUUUGAGAGGAGCUGUCCUUAGUACGAGAGGACCGGGAUGGACUGGCCGCUGGUGUAUCUGUUGCAUACCAAAUGCAUGGCAGAGUAGCCAAGCCGGGACGGGAUAAACGCUGAAGGCAUCUAAGCGUGAAGCCCCCCUCAAGAUGAGAUAUCCCUACGUAAGUAGUAAGACCCCUUGAAGACGACGAGGUAGAUAGGUCAGAGGUGGAAGUACAGUAAUGUAUGGAGCUGACUGAUACUAAUCGGUCGAGGGCAUGACC
rnacentral:rRNA from 1 species